rnacentral:rRNA from 1 species
ACCAGACUCCUACGGGAGGCAGCAGUGGGGAAUAUUGCACAAUGGGGGAAACCCUGAUGCAGCAACGCCGCGUGAGUGAAGAAGUAUUUCGGUAUGUAAAGCUCUCUCAGCGGGGAAGAAAAUGACGGUACCUGAGUAAGAAGCCCCGGCUAACUACGUGCCAGCAGCCGCGGUAAUACGUAGGGGGCAAGCGUUAUCCGGAUUUACUGGGUGUAAAGGGAGCGUAGACGGCGAUGCAAGUCUGAAGUGAAAGCCCGGGGCUCAACCCCGGGACUGCUUUGGAAACUGUAUGGCUGGAGUGCUGGAGAGGCAAGCGGAAUUCCUAGUGUAGCGGUGAAAUGCGUAGAUAUUAGGAAGAACACCAGUGGCGAAGGCGGAUUGCUGGACAGUAACUGACGCUGAGGCGCGAAAGCGUGGGGAGCAAACAGGAUUAGAUACCCUAGUACAU